CUUCUUCUUCAGCAGCACAUAUACUAAAAUUGGAAUGAUACAGAGAAGAUUAACAUGGUNGCUGCGCAAGGAUGACACACAAAUUCAUGAAGCGUUCCAUUUUUUA
rnacentral:snRNA from 1 species